GUUAGUGUGGCAGAGAUAGGUCAUGCAAAAGGUCUAAGCCCUUUCAACUUGGGUUCAAAUCCCCUCAUUAACU
rnacentral:tRNA from 1 species